rnacentral:rRNA from 1 species
CUACGGGUGGCUGCAGUUAGGAAUCUUCUGCAAUGCGCGCAAGCGUGACAGAGCGAACCAGAGUGUUCGUCAUAGACGAACUUUUGCCAGAUGCAAAAAGUCUGGCGAAUAAGGACUGGGUAAGACAGGUGCCAGCCGCCGCGGUAAUCCCUGCGGUCCAAGUCGCAGCCAUCAUUAUUGGGUCUAAAACAUCCGUCGCUUGUUAGGUGAGUUCUCUGUGAAAUCGGGCAUCUUAAGUGUCCGGCGUGCAGAGAGUACUGCCAAACUAGAGACUGGAAGACGCAAGAAGUACGUUUAAAGUAGUAGUGAAAUAUCUUAAUCUUAAGCGGACUCACAACAGCGAAGGCAUCUUGCGAGGACAGUUCUGACAGUAAGGGAUGAAGGCUAGGGGCGCAAAAGGGAUUAGAUACCCUGGUAGUC